rnacentral:rRNA from 1 species
UACGUAGGGUGCGAGCGUUAAUCGGAAUUACUGGGCGUAAAGGGUGCGCAGGCGGUCCCGCAAGUCAGGCGUGAAAUCCCCGGGCUUAACCUGGGAAUGGCACUUGAAACUACGGGACUGGAGUAUGGCAGAGGGAGGUGGAAUUCCACGUGUAGCGGUGAAAUGCGUAGAUAUCUGGAGGAACACCGGUGGCGAAGGCGGCAUCCUGGACCAUUACUGACACUGAAAAGCGAAAGCCAGGGGAGCAAACGGG